AUGAAGAGGAUCUUGAGCUCUCUGCUGGGGCUUUUGUGCAUCCAUGUUUGCAGUGUGAGAGGGAUGCAGGUGGAGCAGAGUCCUCCAGCCCUCAUCCUCCAGGAGGGAGCCAAUUCCACUCUGUCGUGCAGUUUUUCUGCCUCAGUGACCACUGUGCAGUGGUUUCGCCAAGAUCCUGGGGGACUCCUCAGCAGCCUGUUCUACAUUCCUUCAGGGACAAAGCAGAAUGGAAGAUUAGAGGUCACGACAGUCCCUAAAGAACGCCACAGCUCAUUGUCCAUCUCCUCUUCUCAGCCCACAGACUCAGCCACUUAUUUCUGUGCUGCAGCCCACAGUGCUCCCCUGGCACCUGCAGCUGCUACACAAACCCUCAGCUGGGCUCAGCCCUGCGCCAGUCACAAGCACAUCAAGAGGCCACUGGAGCACCAUCUUCACAAUUUAGCAUUUUUUUUUAACCAAUAG